UACGUAGGUGGCAAGCGUUGUCCGGGUUUAUUGGGUUUAAAGGGUGCGUAGGCGGUCUUCUAAGUCAGUUGUGAAAUACUUCAGCUUAACUGGAGAGGUGCAAUUGAUACUGGAAGACUUGAGUACUGAUGAGGUAGGCGGAAUGGACGGUGUAGCGGUGAAAUGCUUAGAUAUCGUCCAGAACACCGAUAGCGAAGGCAGCUUACUAAGGAGUAACUGACGCUGAGGCACGAAAGUGUGGGGAUCAAACAGG
rnacentral:rRNA from 1 species